CUGAGAGGACAUACUGUCAGACAUCUUCAAAAUCUUGGGAUCACAUUGUGAGUGAUAGCUCUUGCUGUAUCCCUGGAUUGAGACUGUCACAUUUUGAAUGACAAUAUUGGAUGCUGUGUACUUACAAAUUGAAGUUUAUGGAAACCCUGCACCAAGCAAUUCUGUUGGUGCCAUUUUCCAACAGCAGGUGAUUACUUUGUGUCUUUUUGUCACACUUUGGUAAUUCUCACUAUAUUUCAAACAUUUUCACUAUUAGU